ACUAUUGUUCUUUCAAAGAAAAACAUUUUUUGAAAGGACAAUAGGUGUCCGACAUAUCCGGAAACUGGUGCCGCCACAAAAUAAGAUUCUAUCCAAACAGAUCUCCUAAGUUAAAAAUGGGCGACGAUUCUCGUGGUUCUGUAACUCCAAAUAUUCGUACCUUGAUUCGUAGCCUCGAUUCUCAUACAUUUGUAACUUUAAGAAUUCGUAAUUUGACAGUUCUAAUGACAUUUUAUGCACGUAACUGUCAAGUUACGAAUAUUUCUAGUUAACAAUAAGAGAAUCGUCGCCCAGUUCCGUGUAUAAAGUCCUAUAAAGAAUUGGUACGAAUUCUUAAAACUUCGCUACGAGAAUCUACGCCCUGGGCGCUAGUUCCAGUGAGUCUAACAAUUCAAAACUUGACAGCUGUCACUUUAUUACUAAGAGUGGUUCAUACGAUUCGUAACUUUUGGGGUGACAACACUGUCAAGUUUUCUAAUUCUUCAAUUUAUAAGAAUCGCCGCCCUGAGCAUAAUUCAGUAAAUAUACAAAAGAAAAGAACGGAAAUUGGACUGAGUUAAACCAAUGAUUUACAGAUUUUAAGCGUUACAUUAUCCAUCCUCUCAUUCUACAUCCAUACGUAAAUCCUCGUCUUGCAGCCCUCGCACCUCGUCCAAACAAUCCAUAUACAUGUAUGACUUAACUCAGUUCGUGUUCAUUUAAAUUCAAAUUCGGAUUUUUGAAUUAAUCCGAUUUUCGAUUUUAUUUCGAUAUUCUAAAGCAAAAUAAAAUUACAAAACAAAAAACAAGCAAUGAAAGCAAUGAUGGCCUGUGUAAAGGAAGUAAACGACGACGUAUUUUAAACAGUACAUUAAUAAUGGUUGUGUUCAGUGAGAUAAGAUUUUUCUUUUUGUAAAAUGAUAUUUCGACUAAUUUUAAGUGUAAAUUUAAGAAAUUGUAAUUGUUAAGACCAGCGGCAACUUUUUUUUUAAUUUAAUUUGAUUUAUAAACGCGUUUUUCGGAGAGUAACGGCUCUAUUAGGUUGGUUCGAAUUUUACAUUUCAAUUUUAAUUUUGAAACGCCUGACCCCUGGGUGCAUUUAGGAUGGUCCAGAGAAUCUUUUGUGGAAGAAACGUUUUUCUUUAAAUUUGGUGUUUCCUUUCUGUAUUCUGUCGAUGGUUAAGUUGACAGCAGGUCAGUUCACAAGAAAAAAUCAGGAGGGAACCAGAAAAAUCGUCUGAAUUCCCUGCAGUUCUAUAGUUCUCGGAUAGGGAGGAUAGUAAACCAUGAAGACGUCAUCUGUUUUUAGGAACUGACCUCUGAUGACUUCGAAAAACCAAAAACCUUUGAAAUGUCUAGUGUCUAGAGCAACAAAGUAAAAGAAACGUCCAGGCCUCGACAUUAUUUUGGAUGUGUAACUCCAUACGCAGUCACAAAAAAAAUUUCAUCGACGAACAGUUGUUUGUCACAUGAAAAAGCUUUCGUAAAAGUCAAUUGCAAUUUUCCUGAGGAAAGUCGUCAGAAAACAUCCCAAAAAUGGAAAUUUCCAAAUCCGUGAACAGAAUUCAAGGAGUGGGGAAGUAGUGAUGAAAUGUCUGUGCAAGAAACACUAGAACUAGUAUCCCAAAUUAUAGUCUUCGUGCGUUUCAUUGAUCUAGAGAGAACUUAAAAUCCCUAUUAGAACAACCAGGACUUUUCCAGGACAUAUAUCAGGCUCUUGAACAUGGAUCAUGAAAUCCCACCAAAAAAAGUUCUUCCAUGAAAUAACGGUGAUGAGCCAUACUUUCCAGAACGUGCGUCAAUUUUAUCCGUAAUUCCACACUUUUUGUCGAAAAGCCAUAGUCGGGAAUGACGUUCAUUGUCCCACCACACCAGAGACCUCGAACUCCAACCUACUCCGUGCCAUUUAAAAGCUACUCUAUUCAGUUCUAUUAAUUCUAGUCGAUGGUAACCGCAAUCAUGUCAGAGAAAUCAUUCAGCGAUAAAUGCAAUCUGACUACUACCUCGAUCCGAAAAUCAAAAAAUCGCUCUUGACGCAUGGGAAAAACAAAUUUAAAGGAAAAUGUUUCUUCCGUAAAAGAUUCUCUGGACAAUCAUGACUGCAACCAGGGGUUAAGCGUUUUAAAAUUGAAUUGUAAAAAUUCGGCCCAACCUACAGUUUAGUCGAGUGCGAGUGGUCCGGUUCGUUUUGUUCGUUAUAAAAAGUUUUGAUUUUGUUGUGGAUGUGUGCUAAGAUUGUAGACUGAUAGGAAUAGAACACACCGUAUUGUCAUGUUAUAAAAUGUUGACGUCAGGUUGUAUCAUUCAAAAUUGGCCCUCACACUCGACUAAUUUUUCUGAUUACAAAAAUGCAACUCAAACAUCACAUUGUACACUUUUAAGCGGUCGCAGCCGGUGAAUAAAAUCACCGAAAAAUUGGCCGCAUUUAUUCCCCCCGCCCUCCUUUAUUUUCGUUAAAUGAAGACUGAUUCGAUUCGAUUAAUUUUAAUUUGUAGUGUUCUAAGAGACGGUACAGAUUUUUGAUUUAUUUACGUAAGCAUUUUCUUUGUCAAACCCAGAGCCGUUAACAAAGAUUUUUUU